rnacentral:rRNA from 1 species
UACGUAGGGUGCAAGCGUUGUCCGGAAUUAUUGGGCGUAAAGAGCUCGUAGGCGGUUUGUUGCGUCGGCUGUGAAAUCCCGAGGCUCAACCUCGGGUCUGCAGUCGAUACGAGCAAACUAGAGUGUUGCAGGGGAGACUGGAAUUCCUGGUGUAGCGGUGAAAUGCGCAGAUAUCAGGAGGAACACCGGUGGCGAAGGCGGGUCACUGGGCCGCAACUGACGCUGAGGAGCGAAAGCAUGGGGAGCGAACAGG